UACGUAGGGUGCAGGCGUUAAUCGGAAUUACUGGGCGUAAAGCGUGCGCAGGCGGCUCCUUAAGUCAGAUGUGAAAGCCCCGGGCUUAACCUGGGAACUGCGUUUGAAACUGGGGAGCUAGAGUGUAGAAGAGGGGGGUGGAAUUCCAGGUGUAGCAGUGAAAUGCGUAGAUAUCGGGAAGAACACCCGUGGCGAAGGCGGCUCUCUGGGACGGUACUGACGCUGAGACGCGAAAGCGUGGGGAGCGAACGAGG
rnacentral:rRNA from 1 species